rnacentral:tRNA from 2 species
AAGAUUCUAGUGUAAAGAAAACACACUGCUUUGUCAAGGCAGGGUUGUGGGUUAAACCCCCACGUAUCUUA